CGGACGACCAAACAGCAGAGGUUCACCACCGCGACGGUAUAAAGGUGUACUAUAUACGUAUAGAAAGGACUGUCGAUACGGGACACUUGAAAGCGCGCGACUAAUUAAAGUCAGCGACACGACGACGGCGAAGCUUUCAAACGCCCCCGUGAUGCGGAAUUAAUUGCGAUUCGCUUUGCUACGGUUUAAGGGACUUUAUAUCGAGAGGGUUGCUCUC